AACAGGAAUGGCAUGCGAACUACCAUCGAGGAACUGUGGAAUACAAGUCAACAAACAUCUUCAGUCCCGUUAAAGAAAGGUGUAUUUUAUGAUGAGAAGGAAAAGGCGAUUUCUCCCGCAUCGAAAGAGGAUGAUGCAGAAUUGACGAGUUGCAACUCGGGAC